GAUUUGCACAAUGGCGCGAANCCUGNUGCAGCAACGCCGCGUGCGCGAAGAAGGCCUUCGGGUUGUAAAGCGCUUUUCGGGGAGAUGAGGAAGGACAGUAUCCCCGGAAUAAGGCUCGGCUAACUACGUGCCAGCAGCCGCGGUAACACGUAGGAGCCAAGCGUUAUCCGAAUUCACNUGGGCGUAAAGCNCNGUGCAGGCNGGCUCGGUAAGUUGGAUGUGAAAGCUCCUGGCUCAACUGGGAGAGGACGUUCAAUACNUGUCGGGCUAGAGGACGGCAGAGGGAGGUGGAAUUCCCGGUGUAGUGGUGAAAUGCGUAGAUAUCGGGAGGAACACCAGUGGCGAAGGCGGCCUUCUGGGCCGUUCCUGACGCUCAGACGCGAAAGCUAGGGGAGCGAACGGGAUUAGAAACCCCGGUAGUCCUAGCUGUAAACGAUGUAGACUUGGUGUAGGUGGUGUAAAAGCCAUCUGUGCCGAAGCCAACGCGAUAAGUCUACCGCCUGGGGACUACGGCCGCAAGGUUAAAACUCAAAAAAAUUGACGGA
rnacentral:rRNA from 1 species